UUGCUUUGUUUGGCAGCAUAUAUACUGAAAUUGGAACAAUAGAGAAGAUUAGCAUAGUUCCUACGCAAGGAUGAUAUAUAAAUUUGUGAAGUAUAUUUCAUAUUU